UACACAGACACCGAGACCGUCCGUCCGUCUGUCCGUCCUCCCUCUGUGACUGUGUGUGCGGCUGAGCGCAAAUGAAAGGAUGUCGGAGACACCACUGCCCCUAAUUAUAACAAGAAUCGUGUGCACAAUCACCUUCACUGCCAUGAAAAGAGGCGUGUCCACUUGGGAGAAAGAUCUUUGUGAUGCUAAUUGAUUCCAUCAACUGACUUAUUGACUGCAAGGGGUCCUCACCAGAAGGCAAGCACAAAGCUACACACGGCGUCCAUCUUGGCAGGCUUGGCCCGUUCAGAUGUAUUUGCAGCAUUCUGGCACUUUAGAUGCUUGGCCAAUGUUGACGUGUCGGUUGUGAUGGAUUAAUUGCUCACCAGAAUACUUGGAAAGAAAUUGUAAAGAUGCCUGCAAAGUGAACAGUAAUUGUUCUGAUGUGUGUGUUGUGUUGAUUCACAUCCCCCACCGAGCGAGCGAGCGAGCGAGCACACAGGCAACCCCCCACCUUUCACUCGCCCAACCUCCCUUUGGUGGUAGACACACACUUGAUGCUGCAUACCCCUCCCACAAUUUCUGCAUCAGUACAGACAUGCCAUAGAGCCAGUUGCCAUGGCAACUACUGCUUCUAUCCCCCGACUGGUUUUAAGGGUAAACAUGAUUUGGUGGAAAGACAGUCAAGGGCAAAAUGAUGUUCCUGCUCUAAUCAUGUCUGGUUUGUUUAUUUGAGACGAGCCUCACUUCGUCAUAAUAAUCACAAAUACUUUCUUUGAGACAGCUCAUGUUUUUCACCUCAAUCGAUCCAGGUGAGAAAACAAAUACAAGUAAAAGGAUGAAUGAAGUAGAAAGAGAUGCUACUAUGUGUAUGUCAGACGGAGGGGAGGAGGGGGGGUACAGUUGUGGGCCAGCUCAUUCCCACUGGCAAUGGAGUUGCAGAAAUAGUAGGUCAGUGUGCCAUCAUCUCAUUCAUCAAUAUCCCUGCCUGCUCUUUUUUCAUAUCACACUCCUAUCUUGUUUCUUUUUUUGCAGUUCCAAAAUCAAAUCUGCCAAAAGCUCGUCCGUCAUCCAUCCAUCUCUCCAAAUAACGAUAACUGCUCAUCAAGAUAAGACGUAUACCCAAGACUGGUUAGCAAGAAAAGACAUCCAAAGUUUUGGUCUUGGGUAUAGUAGGAGUACUUCCCUGGCAGAAAAACACGGUUUCACAACAAUGGAUAUGAGAUGGAUUCAAAUUUUAAG